rnacentral:lncRNA from 1 species
CGAGAUUCGCCGCCCGUCGUAGCGGCCCGCUUCGGCCCCUCGGGGCCCGGGGCUCUCCGGGACCUACACAGCCCGGGAGACUCCGGCGGGGCUGCCUGCCCUCGCCCGAGCCCGGGGGCCCAAGCUGCGGCAGCGGCUCCCAACGCCUCUGCUCGAGGAGAGCGGCGGCCUGGAUGCCCCAGCGCCCUCCCUGUCCAGUUCCUUGAAGGCCCCCAAGAGGGGCGAGGCCGGGGAGGUGCUGGAGCGGGGCCAAGUGAGCUUUCGGGGCCGCGGUUGAACUGGAGUCUUGAGUGCGCUGCGGUCAGUGGAGGCCCUUCCACCCUCGCCGCGCCCCGUGGGGAAUAGUCCCCCACCUCCCGCCAUGGCUGCAGCAGGAGGAGACGACGUCCUCCAUUUUGUCGGGACAACUGUGGGAACUUGGGACCCCUCAAAACCAAACCCCGUGGGGCCAGGACUUGUCCCGGAAGCCCCGACUGGGCUCUGCCAUUCGGACAAGGGAACAGCCCCAGCUGCCGGCGUCUGCGUCCGCGGGGCAGUACUGGUCGGGCGCGACGGUGGAGACACCCAGACGCAGCUCCCCGCCUCCAUCAACCAAGAUGGAGGGAGCUGCAGGCUCCCUUGGAGCUGGGCUCUCGCGGGUUGGAGGGGCUGAGGCCUGCCCUGGGGCGUCCCUGGGCGCCGCCGUCCUGUGCUAGCAGCCCGGGGCGCUGGCCCUGCCUAGGCCUUUUUACUGCCUGCCACCGUCUCCUGGUCCGGAAUGGUUGAUGGAGACUCCAUGGAGGCUCCCUCCACAGCCCGCUCUAUCGCGGGGCGCACCCGCUGCGGCCCCUGCGGGGAGCAGAAUCAGGGACAGAUGGCGCCCGGUGAGGGCGGGCCCCACAGGCCACCUCCACGAGGGGUCUUCUCUUUUGUUCCUCGUCUACACCUACGUCUUCGGCGGAUGUCAUGGUGCUGAACCAUUUCCCGGACUCCACGUAAAGAUGGAAGCGAUUCCGCUUUCGUCUCGCCCUGGCGGUUCUUAGUGGGAUUACAAUUGAGGAUGUUAGUUUGGAUGAAAGUUGGUGAAAUACUUACCUUAUGUCUGGAAAUACAGAUAAUGUGAUUUUUAAAAAACACAUUGAGCCCCGUUUUACUUCUGUGGUAUGGUAAAGGCACAGGUUUAUUCAAUGAAAAUCAGACGUUAACCAUCUAAUGCAGGGGUGGCCAAUCUUUUGGCUUCCCGGGGCCACAUUGGAAGAAUUGGCUUGGGCCACACAUAAAAUACGCUAACAGUAACAAUAGCUGAUGAGCUAAAACAAACGAAAAAACCAAAACGCCAAAAAAAUCUCAUAACGUUUUAAGAAAAUUUACAAAUAUGUGUUGGGCUGCAUUCAAAGCCGUCCUGGGCCGCAUGCAACCCCCAAGGGCUGCAGGUUGGACAAGCUUGAUCUAAGACAAAAGCAUGUUCACGGAUUGAUGAGAGUUCUGUGUAAGCCUUUGCAUAUUGCAUAGUGCUGUAUGUCAUGGAUAUGCCUAAUAUCACCUACAUUUUUUAGGUCCUCAGUUACUCUUUGGAAAUAAGUGAAUUACAUGUAAUGUCAUCAUUUUAAUGACUGCUGUAAAUUACAAGCACUGACUACCCUGAGUUCGUGGAGAAGGGCUCCAUAGAGAAAAUUUGAAGGUCUGACAGAAACUUUAAAUGAAUGAAGCACAUCUUUGACGCGAAAACUUCGGGAUAUCUGACAGAGA